rnacentral:lncRNA from 1 species
GAUUAUUCAUUAAUUAGAUUCACUAAGUAUGUUCAUGUUAAUGGUUGGACCUAUUCAGAAUUUUUAGCGGAGGUGCCAUAUACCUGCUGAAGAGGUGCUUGGGGCAAAAUUAUUACUAAAAAUUAUUUGAAAAAAUAAUUGGUUAAGAACCAAUCCAUAAAUGCAUAUGGGUUGGCCAGAGCUUUACUCGGACACAUAUGC